CACGUAGGGUGCGAGCGUUGUCCGGAAUUAUUGGGCGUAAAGAGCUCGUAGGCGGUGUGUCGCGUCGGCCGUGAAAACCUGCAGCUUAACUGUGGGCUUGCGGUCGAUACGGGCAUCACUGGAGUUCGGCAGGGGGAGACUGGAAUUCCUGGGUGUAGCGGUGAAAAUGCGCAGAUAUCAGGAGGAACACCGGUGGCGAAGGCGGGUCUCUGGGCCGAUACUGACGCUGAGGAGCGAAAGCAUGGGGGAGCAAAACAGG
rnacentral:rRNA from 1 species